CACAGACAACCAGGAUGUUGGCUUAGAAGCAGCCACUCAUUCAAAGAGUGCGUAAUAGCUCACUGGUCGAGUGAUCCUGCGCCGAAGAUUUCCGGGGCUAAAACUUACUACCGAAGCUACGGCAUCAGUAAUGAUGGGUAGGGGAGCUUCCCAUACGGGUUGAAGCAUGACCGUAAGGACAUGUGGACAGGAUGGGAGUGAGAAUGUUGGCAUGAGUAGCGAGAUGUGGGUGAGAAUCCCACAGGCCGUAAACCCAAGGUUUCCAGGGGGAGGUUCGUCCGCCCUGGGUUAGUCGGGACCUAAGCUGAGGCCGAAAGGCGUAGGUGAUGGACAACAGGUUGAUAUUCCUGUACUACCGAUAACCGUUUGAGAGAAGGGAUGACACAGUAGGAUAAGCUAAGCACACUGUUGGUUAUGUGUGCCCAAGCAUUGAGGCAGUCAAAGUAGGCAAAUCCGCUUUGAUAAUGCUGGGAUGUGAUGGGGAGCGAAAUUUAGUAGCGAA
rnacentral:rRNA from 1 species